rnacentral:lncRNA from 1 species
GAACCUAAAUAUUAAGCGUUGGUAGGAUUAACGAAUUCACAUGAUAUUUCAAACCUAAAAGCUAAGUUAUGUAAUUGGACCAGGUGAUAGGGUUUCGAGCCCACUAAAUUGGGUUGGUUUGGGCCCGUUUCAAAUUUCAAAAUUUUAAUUACAAAUAAAUGGACAAAAACUAAAAAAAACGUAUAAAACUUAUGACCUAGAUUAGUCAUCCCCUACGUGUCAACACCUCGCCCCUCCCUUGCAUCGUCAUCAUCACCUUCACUCCUAUAAAUAAGACUUUAAGCAACAACAGAGAGGGGGGGGGGGGGAAUAGAAAAGGAGGAAGGAGGGACUGAUUACAACGAACACUUCCCCAAAACCCCCUAAUUCCACUAGGCCCUAAAUCCAUUACACCCUAAAUUCAUUACACCCCAAUCCCACUACAAAAUAAAGCAUAAAAAUACAAACAUAAGCACUUCAAGUACUCCUUCGAGAAUCCCUCGUUAAAGCUUCCAUAGUCCCAAACUCUUGUAGCAAGCGGUCCGGAGGUCUUGUCAACGCUGUCAAGGAAGAAGAGCAAAAUCAGUUUUCUUCUUUUAGAAGAAGAUCGGUAUUUCUAAACGAAUCCCUUCCUAAUUCUCAAUCACUCACAUAUCAUUCAUAUCUUGUUUCAGUACAUAUCAAUAUGCUCGAUAUGCUUGUUAUGCUAUAGUAUCUAAUAUUCCGUACAACUAUCAACUAAACAACCUACCCAAGCAAGUGAUGAACUCACAAAGUCACGAGUGAAAAAUGUAGCUUCUUUGCUUAAGGAGGGUUGCUGAAAAUGAACUAGAAAAACCAAACCUCACUCAUUUAAUGACAUUGACAGUAAGGAUUAAAAAAUCCCACAAAAACUUAGAACAUGACAUCAAUAUCAUGCAAAAAGCAUGAGUUUUUGGUAAAAAUAAGUUGCUGGAAUUUCAUUAAAAAGGUAAAAUAAUCUUUGUUUUUAAGACGUUUUCAUGGUGUUAAGUUUGUUAAGCUUGUUUCAAUAUUGGAACGGUUGAGUCUUCAACUAUCGAAAUACAAGUCAACACCUAGAAAAAUUAUAACACCUCAUUUCGGAAUAACAGUUACAGCGUCACAUUGUUUUACCUCCUCCGAUUCGGUCCAUUUCCUUCUGAUUUUCCGAUUGAUUUGAAGGGUUUUUACCUGAAAAUAACACCUAAAAAGUCAGCCUCCUUUCUAUUUUCGAAAUAAAUUAACUAAGAAGAAUAAAGGAGAGAUUAUAUACCUAACUCGCCGUCCCCUUGUCCGCCUCCUCUCCGCUGCCGUCGGCCGUAUAGUCGGCGGCUACCGUUGUCCUCUUUUCUUCUCCGUUGAAUCCCAAUCACAAAGAAAAAAAAACAAGUCAGAAAAGAGCAAAAGUAUCAUUCAAACUCCGGAUUCGUAGUUCGAGGCUUGCAUGUCGCCGGAGGAUUCGCCGGAGGCAUCCCCGACGACAUGCAAUCCCGGAUUGAAAUAAAAAUAGAAAAAACGUCAGUAGAAGGAGGGGUUUCAUGCUGUUU